AGAGUCCAUUAUCAUUGUGGCAGGGAACAUGGCGGCAGGCAGGCAUGGUAUAGGAGCAGCAGCCGAGAGCUUAUAGUAGGUCCACAAAUAGGAAGUAGAAAGAGUACACUGGGAAUAAUGGGAAGCAAGGCCACACCUCCUAAUCCUUCCCAAACAGCCACCAGCUAGGAACCAACUUUCAAAUGAAGAGACUCACCUGAAAUACUGCACAAUGAUGGUUAUCUGAACUCCAUCCCUUACUACCUCAUUGGAGGUUGUAGGUCUGCUUUAAUCCAGUAUCCUGGUGUGCUCUUUACGGUAUUCUAUUUCAAAGGUCUCUGAGAAUGAAGAGCUGGGCGUUUUAUCACCAUCUAAUAUGCAGUGCUACGCCGCACUCCCCCACCCUACUCCCCUCAGUGCUUCAAGCCCCUCUACAGUUGUACCCCGGCUGCUCUUGUGGGAAGCCAACUUCCUAUUCUCUGCUGUCUCUUGAUUGUCUGAAGAGAGCAGCAUGUCAGCUGCUUGGAGCCACCAUCUCACAGCAAAGGCAUGAUAUAAAGUGCAGAACUCAACCAGGGUGGGUUGCUCCUUGACGGCAUCUCUGCUCAAUGACUGCAUCGGAGGAGAAGGAAGGUGAAGCCCAGGGUUUCCACAGCCGCUUGGCCCAUUUCCCAAAGGUUUACUAGCAGGCUUUUGAAGACAGGAAGUAAGUGGCUAGGGUGUGGCUCAGACCUGGGCUUGUCUCUCUCUUCAAAGACGCUGGGAAGAAAUUUGUAGGUCUUUGUAGGUCAUUCACCUAUUGGGAAGAACCCUGGCAUUCGUGCUGGGUUUGCAGGCCAGACACGUUUCUGAGGUAUACAGUGAAGAUUUAUUUCUCAUUGGACAUAACCAACAGCGUGUAGCCGGGGAGACUGGAGUGGAACACUUGGGAGCUCAGCCCUGCCCAGCCUGAGAAAUGGGCCUGGACUAUGCCUCUCUGGCUUGUCAGCGAGUGCUGGAGGGGGCUUUUGCUAUGGACUGGUUUUCAGCCGAGAAUCACAGAGUGUUAGUCCUGAUUCCAGCUUCUUACCUGCUUUUUCUUUUUAUGUUAGAUCCUUACAUGGUUUUGAUAGUGAAAUUAGCAAACAUAGGUGGACAGAAAGGAAAAAGAAAAGCACCAUAAAAGGAAAAUUACCCAGGAGAAAGCAUCGUGUUCCCCACUCGGGUUAACAGCUUUUAAGACUGCCAGACACUCUUUCAGGGCUGAGCGGAUGUCCCUUGGAGCAUAGAUCAAUUAGCACACUAUGUUAUACUUUCUGUCGCUACUUUGUAAAUUUACAGAUAGUAAAUUUACAUCAUAAGCUUGGCCUGAUGUUUUCAAAGAAAUUCCUCCCUAUUAAACAAAUUUUAAACAAUACAUAACAACUGUCUUUCUCUGACUUAGAAUUACAAACCCCAGAUGCACGCCCGGCUUUUUAAGCAUCAGGAAAACAAAUCUUUAAGUAAA
rnacentral:lncRNA from 1 species